GGCCUCCCUCUGCUGGGUGAUCCAUUGUGGAGCCCCAUGAUUGAUCGCCCGGUAGAGGGAGGCC
rnacentral:pre_miRNA from 1 species